rnacentral:rRNA from 1 species
AGAUUGAACGCUGGCGGCAGGCUUAACUCAUGCAAGUCGAGCGGUAACAGAGAGUAGCUUGCUACUUUGCUGACGAGCGGCGGACGGGUGAGUAAUGCUUGGGAAUAUGCCUUAUGGUGGGGGACAACAGUUGGAAACGACUGCUAAUACCGCAUAACGUCUACGGACCAAAGGGGGGGAUCUUCGGACCUCUCGCCAUUUGAUUAGCCCAAGUGAGAUUAGCUAGUUGGUGAGGUAAAGGCUCACCAAGGCGACGAUCUCUAGCUGGUUUGAGAGGAUGAUCAGCCACACUGGGACUGAGACACGGCCCAGACUCCUACGGGAGGCAGCAGUGGGGAAUAUUGCACAAUGGGCGAAAGCCUGAUGCAGCCAUGCCGCGUGUGUGAAGAAGGCCUUCGGGUUGUAAAGCACUUUCAGUUGUGAGGAAAGGAGUGUAGUUAAUAGCUGCAUUCUGUGACGUUAACAACAGAAGAAGCACCGGCUAACUUCGUGCCAGCAGCCGCGGUAAUACGAGGGGUGCAAGCGUUAAUCGGAAUUACUGGGCGUAAAGCGUUCGUAGGCGGUCUAUU